rnacentral:rRNA from 1 species
UCUCUGGNCAGUAACUGACGCUGAGGAGCGAAAGCAUGGGGAGCGAACAGGAUUAGAUACCCUGGUAGUCCAUGCUGUAAACGGUGGGCGUUAGGUGUGGGGACCGGUUUGGUUUCUGUGCCGUAGCUAACGCAUUAAGCGCCCCGCCUGGGGAGUACGGCCGCAAGGCUAAAACUCAAAGGAAUUGACGGGGGCCCGCACAAGCGGCGGAGCAUGUGGAUUAAUUCGAUGCAACGCGAAGAACCUUACCUGGGUUUGACAUGCACCAGACGGUUGUAGAGAUACGUACCUCCCUUUGUGGUUGGUGUGCAGGUGGUGCAUGGUUGUCGUCAGCUCGUGUCGUGAGAUGUUGGGUUAAGUCCCGCAACGAGCGCAACCCUUGUCUUAUGUUGCCAGCACUUUGGGUGGGGACUCAUGAGAGACUGCCGGGGUUAACUCGGAGGAAGGUGGGGAUGACGUCAAAUCAUCAUGCCCUUUAUGCCCAGGGCUUCACACAUGCUACAAUGGUUAGUACAACGCGCGGCAAACCUGUGAGGGUGAGCGAAUCGCUGAAAGCUAAUCUCAGUUCGGAUUGGGGUCUGCAACUCGACCCCAUGAAGUCGGAGUCGCUAGUAAUCGCAGAUCAGCAAUGCUGCGGUGAAUACGUUCCCGGGCCUUGUACACACCGCCCGUCACGUCAUGAAAGUUGGUAACACCCGAAGCCCAUG